AUUGAACGCUGGCGGCAUGCCUUACACAUGCAAGUCGAACGGCAGCGCGGGAGCAAUCCUGGCGGCGAGUGGCGAACGGGUGAGUAAUAUAUCGGAACGUGCCCAGUAGUGGGGGAUAGCCCGGCGAAAGCCGGAUUAAUACCGCAUACGACCUGAGGGUGAAAGCGGGGGAUCGCAAGACCUCGCGCUAUUGGAGCGGCCGAUAUCAGAUUAGCUAGUUGGUGGGGUAAAGGCCUACCAAGGCAACGAUCUGUAGUUGGUCUGAGAGGACGACCAGCCACACUGGGACUGAGACACGGCUCAGACUCCUACGGGAGGCAGCAGUGGGGAAUUUUGGACAAUGGGCGCAAGCCUGAUCCAGCAAUGCCGCGUGCAGGAAGAAGGCCUCGG
rnacentral:rRNA from 1 species